rnacentral:lncRNA from 7 species
ACAAAAAACCUCUCUGAAGCCCUCUGCAAACAAAACCUGCCUAUGUAGGAGUGCAUGGCAGAGGACGGACGCGGUCAGACAACAAAGGCCAUAUUGGAGGAGGCACAGCCCUGCAGAUGCUAAUUCACACCGAGCAGCCGCCCUGCACAAAAGCAGCUCAGAUUGAAUUCCCUGCUCCUUUUUGACCAUCAAGGACAUGAAAAAACUUGUAGCAAUAAUGACUGAAUCACCCCUUGGGAAAGGCUUUCUGUGAGAAAGAAGCCAGGCAGAGCCAGCAGAAGACAAGGGGCUGGAAUUGGGGCCGGCUCCAGCCAAAGAUUUAGCAUCGUGAGCCACUGACGUUUACUGGCCCUGAGUUGAGAGGGUGGUAACAUCCUCAACCCAGCAGAGCUGAACUGAUGAAGGUCAUGAAUCAAAUGUUGGACAUGAGGACUUCGACACAGUCAUCCCCUGUCCCAAGAGCAUCAUCUGGCUUUAGAGUCAGGGAUUGCUGGCUGCUGGCACGCAGAUCUGGACCAUUACAUGGAGCAGGCACAAGCUGUAUGAAAGCAGAAAGGAUCGCACUGUCGGCAUCAGCAAUAGCUCAUGCUACGCCUGCAGAGACCCCAAAACAGAAGUGCAGCCCACUCUCACAUUUCCUGAUGAAAGCUGCUAUCAGAGCCCAGCCAAAUGCCCAAAAAAGCAGGAGAGCUCAACUGGCCAUGGAAAAAAUCAAGUGCAACAGGACUUUGUGCCUAAAUCUGAAGGCAUAAGAUGAUGCUUG